GGUCAAGCUACAAAGAGCGCAAGGGGAAUGCCUUGGCACCAGGAGCCGACGAAGGACGCAGCAAUCUGCGAAAAGCCACGGGGAGCCGAAAGCAGGCAUCGAUCCGUGGAUGUCCGAAUGGGGAAACCCGGCUGAGUGAAGCUCAGUCAGCGUACACUGAAUCCAUAGGUGUGCGUGGGGAACCGCCUGAACUGAAACAUCUAAGUAGGGCGAGGAAAAGAAAUCAACCGAGAUUCCGCAAGUAGUGGCGAGCGAACGCGGAAGAGGCCAAACCGGCUGUAGAAAUAUGGCCGGGGUAAGGACAGCAAAAUGUAUGUUGGACCCUAGCAGAAGGGCAUGGGACGGCCCACCACAGAGAGUGAUAGUCUCGUAUGCGAAAGGGAAAAACAGCAAGCUGUAUCCGGAGUACCACUGGACACGUGAAACCCGGUGGGAAUGUGGGGGGACCACCCUCCAAGCCUAAAUACUCCCUGGUGACCGAUAGUGAAGAGUACUGUGAAGGAAAGGUGAAAAGAACCCCGGGAGGGGAGUGAAAAGAACCUGAAACCUUGUGCUUACAAGCACACAGAGCACGUCAAGGUGUGAUGUGGUACCUUUUGUAGAAUGGUCCGGCGAGUGAAUGUAACGAGCAAGGUUAAGCACUUUAGGUGUGGAGCCGAAGCGAAAGCAAGUCUGAAAAGGGCGAGAAGUUCGUUGUAUUCGACCCGAAACCGGGUGACCUAGCCAUGUCCAGGCUGAAGUGAAGGUAAAACUUCAUGGAGGGCCGAACCCACUCCCGUUGAAAUGGUAGGGGAUGAGGUGUGGCUAGCGGAGAAAUUCCAAUCGAACCCGGAGAUAGCUGGUUCUCUCCGAAAUAGCUUUAGGGCUAGCCUCGACUGAACAUUACCGGAGGUAAAGCACUGAAUGGGCUAGGGGCCGAGAGGUUACUGAACCCUAUCAAACUAAGAAUGCCGGAUAAUGAUAGUCGGGAGUCAGACAGUGUGAGAUAAGUUUCAUUGUCGAAAGGGAAACAGCCCAGACCCACAGCUAAGGUCCCAAAGUAUCGUUAAGUGGAAAAGGAUGUGGAACUGCCCAGACAACCAGGAUGUUGGCUCAGAAGCAGCCAUACAUUCAAAGAGUGCGUAAUAGCUCACUGGUCGAGUGGUUCUGCGCCGAAAAUUUAACGGGGCUAAACGAUACACCGAAGCUUGGGAUGCAGCAUUGGCUGCAUGGUAGGAGAGCGUUCUGUACGGGGUGAAGUCAUAGCGGAAGCGGUGGUGGACUGUACAGAAGAGAGAAUGCCGGAAUGAGUAGCGAGAUUUAUGUGAGAAUCAUAAAGGCCGAAAGACUAAGGAUUUAGAAGGAAGGUUCGUCCGCUUCUAGUUAGCCGGGAGCUAAGGCGAGGCCGAAAGGCGUAGUCGAUGCACAUACGGUGGAGAUUCCGUAGCCGCCUCUUAAUUUAAGCAAAGGGACACUUUCAAAGGGAAUGACCCGGGCGUUGGUAGCCCCGGGCGAAAGGGACCGAAAUUAGAGUAGGGAAGCAUUUCUGGAGGAAGGCGAGAAAAGCUUUGCGGAUAGAGAGAGGCGCCCGUACCGCAAACCGACACAGGUAGUCAGGAAGAGGAUUCUAAGGCCAACGGGAGAAGGGUAGUUAAGGAACUCGGCAAAUUGACCCCGUAACUUCGGAAUAAGGGGUGCUCCUGAAAAGGAGCCGCAGUGAAUAGGCCCAGGCGACUGUUUAUCAAAAACACAGCUCUCUGCUAAAUCGAAAGAUGAAGUAUAGGGGGUGACACCUGCCCGGUGCUGGAAGGUUAAGAGGAAGGGUGCAAGCUCUGAAUUGAAGCCCCAGUAAACGGCGGCCGUAACUAUAACGGUCCUAAGGUAGCGAAAUUCCUUGUCGGGUAAGUUCCGACCCGCACGAAUGGUGUAACGAUCUGGGCACUGUCUCAACUACCCACCCGGCGAAAUUGUAGUACCGGUGAAGAUGCCGGUUACCCGCGGCAAGACGGAAAGACCCCAUGGAGCUUUACUGUAGCCUGAUAUUGGGUUUCGGUAUUCUAUGUACAGGAUAGGCGGGAGACUGGGAACCGAUGGCGUCAGCUGUCGGGGAGUCACCCUUGGGAUACCGCUCUUAGAGUACUGGAAUUCUAACCUGCGGCCGUGAAUCCGGCCGGGGGACAUUGUCAGGUGGGCAGUUUGACUGGGGCGGUCGCCUCCAAAAAGGUAACGGAGGCGCUCAAAGGUUCGCUCAGCACGGACGGAAACCGUGCCUCUGAGUGCAAACGCAAAAGCGAGCCUAACUGCGAGGCUGACGGGCCGAGCAGUAACGAAAGUUGGAGUUAGUGAUCCGGCGGUAUGUGAGUGGAAAUGCCGUCGCUCAACGGAUAAAAGCUACCCUGGGGAUAACAGGCUGAUCUCCCCCAAGAGUCCACAUCGACGGGGAGGUUUGGCACCUCGAUGUCGGCUCAUCACAUCCUGGGGCUGAAUUCGGUCCCAAGGGUUCGGCUGUUCGCCGAUUAAAGUGGUACGCGAGCUGGGUUCAGAACGUCGUGAGACAGUUCGGUCCCUAUCUGUCGUGGGCGCAGGAUAUUUGAGGAGCGCUGUCCCUAGUACGAGAGGACCGGGAUGGACGCACCGCUGGUGCACCAGUUGUCACGCCAGUGGCACAGCUGGGCAGCUAAGUGCGGAAAGGAUAAACGCUGAAAGCAUCUAAGCGUGAAGCCACCUCCAAGAUAAGAUAUCCCACAGCGUAAGCUGGUAAGACCCCUCAAGGACUAUGAGGUUGAUAGGCUGCAUGUGUAAGUGUUGUGAGACAUUGAGCUUGGCAGUACUAAUAGGUCGAGGGCUUGACCAU
rnacentral:rRNA from 1 species